UGCGUAGGCGGGUUUUUAAGUCAGAGGUGAAAUCCUGGAGCUCAACUCCAGAACUGCCUUUGAUACUGAAAGUCUUGAGUAUGGGAGAGGUGAGUGGAACUGCGAGUGUAGAGGUGAAAUUCGUAGAUAUUCGCAAGAACACCAGUGGCGAAGGCGGCUCACUGGCCCAUAACUGACGCUGAGGCAAGACUGGGGAGGCAAACA
rnacentral:rRNA from 1 species